GACGAACGCUGGCGGCGUGCUUAACACAUGCAAGUCGAACGAAGUGGCGAACGGGUGAGUAACGCGUAAUCAACCUGCCCUUCAGAGGGGGAUAACAGUUGGAAACGACUGCUAAUACCGCAUACUGAAGGAGGGGAUUGCGUCUGAUUAGCUAGUGGGAGGGGUAAAGGCCCACCAAGGCGAUGAUCAGUAGCCGGUCUGAGAGGAUGAACGGCCACAUGGUAACUGAGACACGGUCCAGACUCCUGCGGGAGGCAGCAGUGGGGAAUAUUGCACAAUGGGCGCAAGCCUGAUGCAGCCAUCCCGCGUGUAUGAAGAAGGCCUUCGGGUCGUAAAGUACUUCCAGCGAGGAGGCGUUACUCGCAGAAGAAGCACCGGCUAACUCCGUGACAGCAGCCGCGGUAAUAC
rnacentral:rRNA from 1 species